GACAGAGGUGCCGAGCGUUAGGCGGAAUCACUGGGCUUAAAGCGUGUGUAGGCGGGCCGUUAAGUGUCUUGUGAAAUCCCCCCGGCUCAACCGGGGAAUUGCUGGGCAUACUGGCGGUCUUGAGCAAUCUAGGGGCAGAUGGAACAAGUGGUGGAGCGGUGAAAUGCGCAGAUAUCAGGAGGAACACCCGUGGCGAAGGCGGGUCUCUGGGCCGAUAUUGACGCUGAGGAGCGAAAGCGUGGGGAGCGAACAGG
rnacentral:rRNA from 1 species